rfam:Bacillus cereus Rock3-44 chromosome, whole genome shotgun sequence.
CUCUUAUUGAGAGCGGUGGAGGGAAAGGCCCUGUGAAACCCGGCAACCUUCAAACGAAAUGUUUGAAACGGUGCUAAUACCUGCAAAACAAUUUGUUUUGCAUGAUAAGAG